rnacentral:lncRNA from 1 species
AGAAUUGAGAAGAAAGAAUUCUUCUCUUGAUCUCUAUCGUAUAGAUUUGAUGCAUGGAUGCAGAAAGAAAAGAGAGAAUCUUCUUGUUCUUCAUCUUCUUCAUGUUCUUCAUCUUCUUCAUGUUCCUCUUAGAUCAAUCAAAGCAUGGUGACUUCACGAGCUAACACUCUUGGAGAGAUCAAUCAGCACAAGAGCUUCGUGUGGAUAUCUGUAG